rnacentral:rRNA from 1 species
UCGAUGAAGAACGCAGCGAAAUGCGAUAAGUAAUGUGAAUUGCAGAAUUCAGUGAAUCAUCGAAUCUUUGAACGCACAUUGCGCCCCUUGGUAUUCCGAGGGGCAUGCCUGUUCGAGCGUCAUUA